GGGCCCGCACAAGCGGUGGAGCAUGUGCUUUAAUUCGAUGCAACGCGAAGAACCUUACCUGGGUUUGACAUGGGGGUGAAAGAGUUCAGAGAUGGAUUCCCUUCCGCAAGGAACACUCCACACAGGUGCUGCAUGGUUGUCGUCAGCUCGUGUCGUGAGAUGUUGGGUUAAGUCCCGCAACGAGCGCAACCCUCGCCCUUAGUUGCCAUCAGGUUAUGCUGGGAACUCUAAGGGGACCGCCUAGUUUAACUAGGAGGAAGGUGGGGAUGACGUCAAAUCAUCAUGGCCCUUACGUCCAGGGCUAGACACGUGCUACAAUGGUAGGUACAGCGGGAUGCAAGACGGUGACGUCAAGCUAAUCCCUAAAAACCUAUCUCAGUACGGAUUGAAGUCUGCAAUUCGACUUCAUGAAGCUGGAAUCGCUAGUAAUCGCGGAUCAGCAUGCCGCGGUGAAUACGUUCCCGGGCCUU
rnacentral:rRNA from 1 species